AUGGCCGUUCUCCAUGGCUAUGCGUGCUUGCAGAGCCGAGCGCCGUCGGCUGUAGCUGCUCGGGUGGAUCUGCACUCUGCGGUGCGCAGGCGGCCUGCGGGGGCAGGGAGCUUCCAGAGCGGCGCGUGCGUGGAACGGCGGGCUGUGCGGGGGGCGCCUGCCGCUGUCUCCAGGCAGAAGAGGGCGCGGGCGGGGUGGCGGCGCGUGCAGCGCUGGGUGCGGGUAGAGGACGCCUCCCUGAUUCACGCCCCCUUUUCCCGUCGCCGGAGUGGAAGGGGAUGCUGCGAUGGUCUAGUCUGUACCGUGGGUCUUAGUUCCCCGACCUGGGAGUCGCCUUCCCGCCCGCCUCUCUGCGGCAAAACCAGAGCCAUCGCAGGGCCCCUCCUGUCUUGCGCAGGUGGAGGGGGCUGGGAGAGCGAGCAGGAAAUGAGAUGGCCCGCAGGCCCAGAUCGCCCGCCCUCCUCUCUCCCAGCCCCCUCUGGCUGUGCGGGAACGACGGGGGGAGGGGCGGAAGAGGAGAAAGCAAAGGGGCCGGCACAGUCGCAGGGAGGGUUAGGGAGGGCUCGCCAGCGGGCAGGGCCCGAGGCGGCCGAUGCUCUCCGCAGGCGGGGCACGCGUCCUGCCAGCCCGUGUGUUGUCAUGGAAACCAAGCCUUCCGAGCAAGCACGGGGCGACUUUCCUCGCGUGGGAGGAAGGGUGGCGUGCGCGGUUGCCGAGACGGCGGCGGCGCUGCGCAGGGGUGGGUGCCCGGCGCCUGGGUUCUAUUCCAGGCACAGCGGCCGGCCGGCCGGGCGCGCGAGCAGCUGCGGUGCGUGCCCUAAUUGGUAUGUGUGCCUGAGAAGCCCCGAGCCACAAUCGCGUGGCCACUGGAGGAGAGCAAGGGCGGAGGCAGGCAGCCCACCCCCACACCUCCGGCCACAAUGGGGAGGCAGCUGCCCAGGUCCCAGGGCUAUUUCAGGCGCUUUUAUUUCUGGUUGCAGGGCCUGCCCGUCUGCGCCAGGCCUGCUGGUGGCUCCAAGGUUUCUUUGUGCGGGCCACGACGUGCUCCGGCAAGGCUGGCUGCGGGUGGCAGGUCGUGUGGAGUAUGAUCUAGCAUCUGACCUCCGGUGGGCACACUAA
rnacentral:lncRNA from 1 species